UGGGGUUUAGCCAAGCGGUAAGGCAUGGGACUUUGACUCCCACAUUCACAGGUUCAAAUCCUGUAACCCCAGCCA
rnacentral:tRNA from 1 species